UUGAUCCUGGCUCAGAUUGAACGCUGGCGGCAUGCCUUACACAUGCAAGUCGAACGGCAGCAUGAUCUAGCUUGCUAGAUUGAUGGCGAGUGGCGAACGGGUGAGUAAUACAUCGGAACGUGCCCUGUAGUGGGGGAUAACUAGUCGAAAGAUUAGCUAAUACCGCAUACGACCUGAGGGUGAAAGUGGGGGACCGCAAGGCCUCAUGCUAUAGGAGCGGCCGAUGUCUGAUUAGCUAGUUGGUGAGGUAAAGGCUCACCAAGGCGACGAUCAGUAGCUGGUCUGAGAGGACGAUCAGCCACACUGGGACUGAGACACGGCCCAGACUCCUACGGGAGGCAGCAGUGGGGAAUUUUGGACAAUGGGGGCAACCCUGAUCCAGCAAUGCCGCGUGUGUGAAGAAGGCCUUCGGGUUGUAAAGCACUUUUGUCCGGAAAGAAAUCGCACUUACUAAUAUUAGGUGUGGAUGACGGUACCGGAAGAAUAAGGACCGGCUAACUACGUGCCAGCAGCCGCGGUAAUACGUAGGGUCCAAGCGUUAAUCGGAAUUACUGGGCGUAAAAGCGUGCGCAGGCGGUUGUGCAAGACCGAUGUGAAAUCCCCCGGCUUAACCUGGGAAUUGCAUUGGUGACUGCACGGCCAGAGUGUGUCAGAGGGGGGUAGAAUUCCAUGUGUAGCAGUGAAAUGCGUAGAGAUGUGGAGNNAUACCGAUGNNNAGGCAGCCCCCUGGNNNACANUGACGCUCAUGCACGAAAGCGUGGGAGCAAACAGGAUUAGAUACCCUGGUAGUCCACGCCCUAAACGAUGUCAAACUAGUUGUUGGGGAUUCAUUUCCUUAGUAACGUAGCUAACGCGUGAAGUUGACCGCCUGGGGAGUACGGUCGCAAGAUUAAAACUCAAAGGAAUUGACGGGGACCCGCACAAGCGGUGGAUGAUGUGGAUUAAUUCGAUGCAACGCGAAAAACCUUACCUACCCUUGACAUGCCACUAACGAAGCAGAGAUGCAUUAGGUGCUCGAAAGAGAAAGUGGACACAGGUGCUGCAUGGCUGUCGUCAGCUCGUGUCGUGAGAUGUUGGGUUAAGUCCCGCGACGAGCGCAACCCUUGUCUCUAGUUGCUACGAAAGGGCACUCUAGAGAGACUGCCGGUGACAAACCGGAGGAAGGUGGGGAUGACGUCAAGUCCUCAUGGCCCUUAUGGGUAGGGCUUCACACGUCAUACAAUGGUGCAUACAGAGGGUUGCCAAGCCGCGAGGUGGAGCUAAUCCCAGAAAAUGCAUCGUAGUCCGGAUCGUAGUCUGCAACUCGACUACGUGAAGCUGGAAUCGCUAGUAAUCGCGGAUCAGCAUGCCGCGGUGAAUACGUUCCCGGGUCUUGUACACACCGCCCGUCACACCAUGGGAGUGGGUUUUGCCAGAAGUAGUUAGCCUAACCGCAAGG
rnacentral:rRNA from 1 species